rnacentral:rRNA from 1 species
CAGCCGCCGCGGUAAUACGUAGGGUGCAAGCGUUAAUCGGAAUUACUUGGCGUAAAGCGUGCGCAGGCGGUUAUAUAAGACAGAUGUGAAAUCCCCGGGCUCAACCUGGGAACUGCAUUUGUGACUGUAUAGCUAGAGUACGGCAGAGGGGGAUGGAAUUCCGCGUGUAGCAGUGAAAUGCGUAGAUAUGCGGAGGAACACCGAUGGCGAAGGCAAUCCCCUGGGCCUGUACUGACGCUCAUUCACGAAAGCGUGGGGAGCAAACAGGAUUAGAUACCCCAGUAGUCCCUGUCUCUUAUAA